rnacentral:rRNA from 1 species
AUUGAACGCUGGCGGCAGGCCUAACACAUGCAAGUCGAGCGAGCGGCGGACGGGUGAGUAAUAUCUGGGAAACUGCCUGAUGGAGGGGGAUAACUACUGGAAACGGUAGCUAAUACCGCAUACCAUCAGAGUUGCCCAGAUGGGAUUAGCUAGUAUGUGGGGUAACGUCUCACCUAGGCGACGAUCCCUAGCUGGUCUGAGAGGGUGACCAGCCACACUGGAACGGAGCCACGGUCCAGACUCCUACGGGAGUCAGCAGUGGGGAAGAUUGCACAAUGGGCGCAAGCCUGAUGCAGCCAUGCCGCGUGUGUGAAGAAGGCCUUCGGGUUGUAAAGCACUUUCAGCGGGGAGGCGUUACCCGCAGAAGAAGCACCGGCUAACUCCGUGCCAGCAGCCGCGGUAAUUG